rfam:Ipomoea nil DNA, scaffold: scaffold2701, cultivar: Tokyo-kokei standard.
CUGACCUUAGCUCAGUUGGUAGAGUGGUGGACUGUAGUUGGACUAAUCUCAAUUGGAAAUCCUUAGCUCGCUGGUUUGAUUCCGGUAGGUUGGA